GACGAACGCUGGCGGCGUGCUUAACACAUGCAAGUCGACAGUGGCGAACGGGUGAGUAACGCGUAAUCAACCUGCACAUCAGAGGGGGAAAACACUUGGAAACAGGUGCUAACACCGCAUACUGCUGGCUGGACCCGCGGUGCAUUAGCUAGUUGGUGAGGUAACGGCUCACCAAGGCCACGAUGCACAGCCGACCUGGGGGGGUGAUCGGCCACACUGGGACUGGGACACGGCCCAGACUCCUACGGGAGGCAGCAGUAGGGAAUCUUCGGCAAUGGACGGAAGUCUGAACGAGCAACGCCGCGUGAGUGAAGAAGGUUUUCGGAUCGUAAAGCUCUGUUGUAAGAGAAGCGGUAUCUUACCAGAAAGGGACGGCUAACUACGUGCCAGCAGCCGCGGUAAUUC
rnacentral:rRNA from 1 species